GGCGAUAAACAGCUGUGUUCAUGGGUGGCAUCCCCUGUGUUUUUUGUCAGAUCCUUUUAGAAUGGUUAUACAAAGAGCAAGGUGUCCCCUGCACCCAAAUACCACCCCAUAUUUAGCCUCACUGAUAAUGCUGAAAUUAAACUUAUAUUAUCAAGAGCAAAUCAGUCAAGCUUGGUUGUAAAUGAUAGGAUGAGAUCACUGGGCAAACCAUCCCUAGUGCUCUCAGCCUAUUAUUGCCAUCCAUGGUUGGAAAAUGUACACUUGAUAAUGAGAAAGCAUGUGGCCUUAGUUUUUGUCAGAUCUCACCGAAGUGCUAUGUUGUGGUUAUGGAAGUGCCCCUUGAAAUUGAAUGUAUUUUUCUAUUUUUGCAAGAUA